UACAGAGGUCCCGAGCGUUGUUCGGAUUCAUUGGGCGUAAAGGGUGCGUAGGCGGCGGGGAAAGUCUGAUGUGAAAUCCCUGGGCUCAACUCAGGAACUGCAUUGGAAACUGAAAGGCUGGAGUACCGGAGAGGGAAGCGGAAUUCCUGGUGUAGCGGUGAAAUGCGUAGAUACCAGGAGGAACACCGGUGGCGAAGGCGGCUUCCUGGCCGAGUACCUGACGCUGAGGCACGAAGCGUGGGAGCGAACGGGAAUGAGAUA
rnacentral:rRNA from 1 species